UACGUAGGGGGCAAGCGUUGUCCGGAAUCAUUGGGCGUAAAGGGCGCGUAGGCGGCCACCGCAAGUCGAUUGUGAAAUCUCCGGGCUUAACCCGGAAAGGUCAACCGAUACUGCGGGGCUAGAGUGCAGAAGGGGCAACUGGAAUUCUCGGUGUAGCGGUGAAAUGCGUAGAUAUCGAGAGGAACACCUGCGGCGAAGGCGGGUUGCUGGGCCGACACUGACGCUGAUGCGCGAAAGCCAGGGGAGCGAACGGG
rnacentral:rRNA from 1 species